rfam:Gossypium arboreum cultivar AKA8401 contig_35077_3, whole genome shotgun sequence.
AUUCCAUGACGAGGGAACUUUUGUAAUAACUCUUCAUACUUUUCCCAUGCCUCAUACAAUGACUCAUCAUCCAUUUAUUGGAAGGCAGUGAUCUCGUUCCUCAACUU